rnacentral:rRNA from 1 species
ACGGAAGGCAGCGGUGAGGAAUAUUGGUCAAUGGGCGAGAGCCUGAACCAGCCAAGUAGCGUGAAGGAUGACUGCCCUAUGGGUUGUAAACUUCUUUUGUUCGGGGAUAAAGGAGCCUACGCGUAGGCUUUUGCAUGUACCGUUCGAAUAAGCAUCGGCUAAUUCCGUGCCAGCAGCCGCGGUAAUACGGAAGAUGCGAGCGUUAUCCGGAUUUAUUGGGUUUAAAGGGAGCGUAGGCGGCCUUUUAAUUCAGCGGUCAAAUGUCAGCGCCCAACGCUGGCCUGCCGUUGAUACUGAUGGGCUUGAAUACACACAAGGAAGGUGGAAUUCGUCGUGUAGCGGUGAAAUGCUUAGAUAUGACGAAGAACUCCGAUUGCGAAGGCAGCCUUCUGGAGUGCGAUUGACGCUGAGGCUCGAAAGCGCGGGUAUCGAACAGGAUUAGAUACCCUGGUA